AGACUAAAAACAUAAAAAGUAAAAAGAGAGAGAUAACAUACAAAUGCCGAGAUAUUCUCGAGUGUGCCUCUGUGUUCAUCGCCCAUAGUCAACAAAGACAUGAUUUGAUUUUGUAAAGCUUGAGUGUGGUAGAGGAAACAAGUGUGGUAGAAGAAUAUAAUUGAGUAUUGAUGAAGAUGAUUUGAUAUUGUUGAUAUGAGAGGCUAUUUAUAGAUGAAUGAGUGAGUAGGUUUGCAACCUAAUUGAGUAUUGAUGAAGAUGAUUUGAUAUUGUUGAUAUGAGAGGCUAUUUAUAGAUGAAUGAGUGAGUAGGUUUGCAACCUAAGAUGA
rnacentral:lncRNA from 1 species